UUAGCAAAUGGACUAAUAUAGAGACUCAGUCACUUUGCUUUGCUCUUCUGUGUAUUUCAUUAGGAAAGCUUAAAGACAGACAAAACAACCCACAAACCAACACAUACUUUUAGCUUGCAAUUUAUCAAGAAUAAGUGCUCCUUUUGCUGUGAGAGCAAUUUGGUUCUGUAAAAUGUAUAGCUACCGUACCUAUUUUGAUGUUUUGUAACAAGUAACACACGGUAGAUGUUACUAAAGAUGCUUUGAGCUGCUCUGAUUCCUUGCUUCCCAAGGAAUAAAAUGAGUGAAAACAAUCUCUUUUGAUUUUACAGUUCCUGUUCUGGGAAAUGCCAAGGGAGAAACCCUCGCUGUUGAGUUGCCUUCACACCUGACAGGCCUCCGGUUAGAGCUGCUUCACAAGGCUCUUUCAGUGCAUGCCUCGUGGGUUAAUUACUUGAGCUCUCACAGAAGGAAUCCUGGCUUCUGCUGUAGCAGCUUGUCGCAAGACAUGGUAAGAAAUCGCACAUGAUUUUGAGGCUUGUAGCCUGUGAAUGUGUGUCACCCUGGAAACCGUUUGCACCUGCAAGCAUGAGUCAUAAGAGCUGAGGAAUUGCGGGGACUGUGGAGGAAUGUUUGGAUCCCCGUCUUUCCAGAAUGGACAACUCCUUCCUACAGGAAUGCAGAGUCAGCCUGCUUUGAGGUAUCGCCUGUGGUGAGUGAUUUCCAGGAACACUGACUCAGUGGAGUCACGGAACAAUAAUGAAGGUUAGCUAUCCAAAGCAAACACCCUGGAUUAUUUCUUUAUUGCUGGGGAAACCUUGUAACAAUCUGAAACACCAGUAUUUUCAGAACAAAUAAGAAGUACAACCUUAUAUGCAGACGUGAAGUCUUGCAUAUUCCUGUGACAUUAUUCUUGCUGCAAUAUGCCAUGCUCUGUUCUGAAUCCCUGAGACUGAAGAACAACGCUUGCUCACCCGCUCUCAGCUGUUUGGACAUGGUCUUGUGUGGGCGGCUGCCAAGCCUUGCGGAUUGUGACAAUGCAGAGUGCACUGUAAGAUGCCCCUUCCAUUAAAUAAUGCUGAAAGAACACAAGUUAUUCAAUGGAUGAGAAUUAAGCUUUUUAUUCCUCUCUGAUUUUUAAUGAUGUAACUGUUGUGUAUUGACUACUAUAAGCAUGUGCAGGACUCUGCAGAUGAAUGCAGUUGGAGAAGAAGUCAUGGUAAAACUUACAGAAGGGUUUCAUGGUAGCUUCUGAAGAAAGAAAAAUGACCUGAACUGAAGAGAUUAAUUCCUACUGUAUUUUCUACUGCCACUGCCAUUUCUGGAAGCUGAUACUUAGAAUAUGUUGAAAAAGAGAGUUCCUAACAGAAGGAUAAAAUAUGUUUUGUAUCUCCCAGGGAUGUAUACACACCCACUGUCAGGUCUUUGACUUCUCCACUUCUGAGAAGCAAAAUACAUGGUAACCAACCAUUUUAGUGGGUGGCUACAUCUGCAAAUGAUACAAAUUAAUGAAGUUUCCAUUCCUUCCCCAAGGAAAGCUUGAUUUAUGGUUCCAUUAAAUUUCUAACUCACUGAAGAAAGUACUACCUGGUGGGAUAAUUGGCACGGAUUUCUUUCUCUAGGGAGUACUGAAAAAACAACACAG